rnacentral:rRNA from 1 species
UACGUAGGGUGCAAGCGUUGUCCGGAAUUAUUGGGCGUAAAGAGCUCGUAGGCGGUUUGUCGCGUCUGCUGUGAAAACUCGGGGCUUAACUCCGGGCCUGCAGUGGGUACGGGCAGACUAGAGUGCGGUAGGGGAGACUGGAAUUCCUGGUGUAGCGGUGAAAUGCGCAGAUAUCAGGAGGAACACCGGUGGCGAAGGCAGGUCUCUGGGCAUUAACUGACGCUGAGGAGCGAAAGCAUGGGGAGCGAACAGG